rnacentral:piRNA from 2 species
UUUGUAGAAUGCAUGAAUGA